UUAUGAUUCAAAAGGGUAUCAACAAUGAGUUCAUUGCAUGAGUCCUACAUAGGAAAUUUACCUAUGCAUUCUAUAUGAUCUAGACUCAAACCUAAAGAUGCAAAUGUUUUUUUUUUUUUUUUUUUUUAUGGAUUUUCUAUGCAAAUGGAUAUGCAAUGCUUAUGACAAGUAAACAAAACAGAAAACAUGUGAGAUAAGUAGACUCUCCCCCCACACUUACUUCACACAGUCUCUUGUGUGAGAGCAAGGUGAAAGAAGAGGUCUAGAGGAAACAAACAAGAAGACUAUGUAUUUACAAUGGUUGUAGAGACACUUAGCUUGGAGUUGCUAGAUGGAGUUGAAUAAUUUUAACACUUGUAGCUUUGCUGGAUGGCCAUCUUUCUCUUUGAUUAAGAGGAGAAUCACCUAAAAAUUUUAAACACACUUAUUAAACACACAAAAGAAAAACCACACAAGUAAAACAAUAAUAUAUAUAUAGGGAUAGACAUGGGACUUCCUCCCAAGUGAGCUUGUUUUAAGUCUCUAGCUUGACUUUGUGUGCCUGCUAAUCAUAAGUAUCAAAAGGCUGAGCCAAUGCACCUUUGGUCUUUCUCCUACAAGAACAAGAAACCAAGUGUGCAAAGAAACACACUACUGUCAAUAGAAAAUAGACAGAUUUUUCCUCAAAGAGCUUCACUAAAGAUAUGAUAUGAGUUAUGAGUGACACGUUAGCAAAUUUUCUUUUUUUUUAAUUAAUUCUGUGACAUUCCGAUAUAGUUUUCUAAAAAAAAC
rnacentral:lncRNA from 1 species